rnacentral:rRNA from 1 species
UAACGGCCUACCACGGCGACGACGGGUAGCUGGUCUGAGAGGAUGGUCAGCCAGACAGGGAGUGAGACACGGCCCUGACUCCUUUGGGGGGCAGCAAUGAGGGAUAUUGCACAAUGGGGGAAACCCUGAUGCAGCGACGCCGCGUGGGUGAUGAAGUCCUUCGGGAUGUAAAGCCCUUUUGACGGGGAAGAGAAUGGACGGUACCCGUCGAAUAAGCCCCGGCUAACUACGUGCCAGCAGCCGCGGUAAUACGUAGGGGGCGAGCGUUGUCCGGAUUUACUGGGCGUAAAGCGCGUGUAGGCGGCCGCAUAAGUCGGGUGUGAAAGCCAAAUUGCUCUUCCACGGGAUGCCGCCCGAGACUGUGUGGCUUGAGGACGGAAGAGGGGCGUGGAAUUCCUGGUGUAGCGGUGGAAUG